UGAAGCAAAAUCUAGUUUAAUGUAUCAUUACACACUACUGGAGCUAGUAGAAUCAAGGAAGUCCAAAUCAAAACAGAAAAAGUUACAAGAUAACAAACAUUGGCUGUUCAUCAACUUUUCACUUGAUUCGCAUAAAUCAUAGAGCCGUGUUUAAGACCGAGCAAAAAACUCAAGUUAUCAUCCUGCGAACGGAACUUUUAGCUUCAAACAAAGCAUGUAUCCAAAACCAACUAGAAGAUGCGAGCUCAAGCUUGAAGAUAGAACAGAAACAUAACAAGAAUAUAAAGAACUAUAUCAGAAACUGCAGUACCAGAACUACCUCUCAGCAACAGAUAAUUAUCCAAACUCUCUUCUAACGAGCAAGAGAAUAACCAAAAAAAACAAAGUCAAACAUUGACAGCUAGGCAUCGGUUCUAGAUAACAUAUCCAAACCCUAUCCUCAAUUUUGCAGAAUAGUUUGAAUCAGAAAGCAUAAUCAAUCGAAAAAUAUCCAAGUCAACCCAUUACAAUUAAACAAAAACCAUCGUCAUAUUCGCCUCAAAGAUACCUAACUGGUACUUGAAACCCAAAACCACAACCAAAAAG
rnacentral:lncRNA from 1 species